GGGGGUGACCAGGUCUCGACGGGAUGAGGAUGGUCAGAACUGCGUACCGUGCUUUCCGUGUGCACGUUAAACAAGCGGAGAAACCAAUAAGUGCGAACUACGAUUACGCACUGGCAGCUUAAGCCCGCCCUGGGCUCGCUGCCCGUCCUUUUAUGUCCGCUGAAGGCGGAGCCGCGGCUCUUCGAGUGCCGCGGAGCUUCUCCUACCAAGCCAUUAAAGGGCGUCGAUCAUGGUGGGAUAGUUAGUGCUUUUUCCCGGUGAGCGCUAACGAACGGUGCCGAAAGCGCCGUGAGCCGGGAUAGCCUUCUGCUGGUCGCGCCGUCCGACAGGCAGUAGGUGAAAAGAGAAAAGGCAGGCUGCGUACGGAGACGUUCUGAUGGUCUUCUUCUCGGACGCGGGUUCGAUUCCCGCCACCUCCACUU
rnacentral:tmRNA from 1 species